rnacentral:rRNA from 1 species
AGUGAACGCUGGCGGCGUGCUUAACACAUGCAAGUCGAACGAGAACGGGUUAUAGCUUGCUAUAAUUGUCAGCUAAGUGGCGCACGGGUGAGUAAUGUAUAGGUAAUAUGCCUCUUACUAAGGGAUAACAAUUGGAAACGAUUGCUAAUACCUUAUACUCCUUAUUAACUAAAGUUAGUAAGGGAAAGAUUUAUUGGUAAGAGAUUAGCCUGUAUUGUAUCAGUUAGUUGGUGGGGUAAUGGCCUACCAAGACUAUGACGCAUAACUGGUUUGAGAGGAUGAUCAGUCACACUGGAACUGAGACACGGUCCAGACUCCUACGGGAGGCAGCAGUGGGGAAUAUUGCACAAUGGACGAAAGUCUGAUGCAGCAACGCCGCGUGGAGGAUGACACAUUUCGGUGCGUAAACUCCUUUUAUAUAAGAAGAUAAUGACGGUAUUAUAUGAAUAAGCACCGACUAACUCCGUGCCAGCCGCCGCCGUAA